GACGAACGCUGGCGGCGUGCUUAACACAUGCAAGUCGAACGGACAGGCCCUGCUUUUGUUGCGUGCUCGUGUGGCGAACGGGUGAGUAACACGUGAGUAACCUGCCCUUGACUUUGGGAUAACUUCAGGAAACUGGGGCUCAUACCGGAUAUGAUCUCUUGCUGCAUGGUGGGGGUUGGAAAGUUUCGGCGGUUGGGGAUGGUCUCGCUGCUUAUCAGCUUGUUGGUGGGGUAGUGGCUUACCAAGGCUUUGACGGGAAGCCGGCCUGGGCGGGUGACCGGCGACAUUGGUACUGAGAUACGGACCAGACGCCUACGGGAGGCAGCAGUGGGGAAUAUGGCACAACGGGCGGAAGCCUGAUGCAGCAACGCCGCGUGCGGGAUGACGGCCUACGGGUUGUAAACCGCUUUCGCCGGUGACGAAGCGGGAGUGACGGUAAUGGGUAAAGAAGCACCGGCUAACUACGUG
rnacentral:rRNA from 1 species